rnacentral:lncRNA from 1 species
GUUGUAAACGCAAUAAUUUAAACUCACAUUUUGGAAUAUUUCAUAUGAACUAAACAGGAUUUUUCUCAAAAUUGUAAAAAUUAAAAUCGCAUUGAAGUCCAUAAUGACAAAAUCGCAAUAAUAAAUGCACGCAAUAAUUUCUGAAUUUACAGUAUAGUAAAUACAGUGUAGGAUAGGGAUUAUUUGGUGCACCCUGUGUGACCCAUAAUGUAACGUAAGGCAGAACAAAAUUUAAACCUACAUAGAUAUAUGAAUCCAGACAAAAGACUGCAAUUCUGUCAAUACAGGUAAACUUAAAAGAAGAAUCUUAGAUCAGGAGUCCUUCAGAAAAAAAGACAUUGAGGAUGUGGUCUCUA